GACGGGGGAUGCAAGAGUUAUCCGGAAUCACUGGGCGUAAAGCGUCUGUAGGUGGUGAUGCAAGUCACUGGUGCAAAACUCUGGCUCAACUGGAGGAAAGCCAGUGAAACUGCAUGACUAGAGUGUGGGAGAGGUAGAAGGAAUUCCCUGAGUAGCGGUGAAAUGCGUAGAUACAGGGAAGAACACCGGAGGCGAAAGCGUUCUACUGGAACACAACUGACACUGAGAGACGAAAGCUAGGGGAGCGAAUGGU
rnacentral:rRNA from 1 species